GGAAACUGAUUGUGUUAUCUCUUUGUAACCCAAACACCUGUAAAUCUACUUCACCAAGCUUUGACAGCAUCUGAACACUUAUUGAUCUUAAAAUGGUACAAAAACCUUUACUUGUUUGCCAGUCAACAAAGGUGGUUUAGUCAAAUGGCAUGAAACUUUCAGAAAUAAAGGUAUGAAUACAUUAUGUUAAAUGUCAUAAAAACACCACUGUUAUGGUAUGAAACAACUUCACAAUUUCUAAAGGCUUAUUUUUCAUGCUUUAUACUUGAUGA
rnacentral:lncRNA from 1 species